rnacentral:misc_RNA from 1 species
AAGUCGUAACAAGGUUUCCGUAGGUGAACCUGCGGAAGGAUCAUUAACACGUAUCCAACGUUAAACCCCCCGUGAACCUUCAGUGCGCUCGCACUUUCUUAGAAAAGGUAGCAAUCCCUGGUAAAUCAUUGCCGAACAGUUUUGAUUCAGGGACUUCUGCGUAGACUGUGCUUGAGCGUGAGGCAAGUGGCCUGGUCACCAGCUCUGUACGAAUGGCGCAGUCACGAUCGCUAGAGGCCGACACGGCCGGCGACCGGGUCACUGGGCGCGAGCCCCCCUCGUCACCUUUGCAUGAAAACGGGCCUGCGCUUAAUUGUGCGGCCACCAAACUCGAACAACUGUUAACAAUGGAUAUCUUGGUUCUC